UACGUAGGGCGCAAGCGUUGUCCGGAAUUAUUGGGCGUAAAGAGCUCGUAGGCGGCUUGUCACGUCGGGUGUGAAAGCCCGAGGCUCAACCUCGGGUCUGCAUCCGAUACUGCCCGGCUAGAGGUAGGUAGGGGAGAUCGGAAUUCCUGGUGUAGCGGUGAAAUGCGCAGAUAUCAGGAGGAACACCGGUGGCGAAGGCGGAUCUCUGGGCCUUACCUGACGCUCAGGCGCGAAAGCUAGGGGAGCGAACUGG
rnacentral:rRNA from 1 species